rnacentral:rRNA from 1 species
GACGAACGCUGGCGGCGUGCCUAAUACAUGCAAGUUGAGCGCUGAAGGUUGGUACUUGUACCAACUGGAUGAGCAGCGAACGGGUGAGUAACGCGUGGGGAAUCUGCCUUUGAGCGGGGGACAACAUUUGGAAACGAAUGCUAAUACCGCAUAAAACUUUAAACACAAGUUUUAAGUUUGAAAGAUGCAAUUGCAUCACUCAAAGAUGAUCCCGCGUUGUAUUAGCUAGUUGGUGAGGUAAAGGCUCACCAAGGCGAUGAUACAUAGCCGACCUGAGAGGGUGAUCGGCCACAUUGGGACUGAGACACGGCCCAAACUCCUACGGGAGGCAGCAGUAGGGAAUCUUCGGCAAUGGACGAAAGUCCGACCGAGCAACGCCGCGUGAGUGAAGAAGGUUUUCGGAUCGUAAAACUCUGUUGGUAGAGAAGAACGUUGGUGAGAGUGGAAAGCUCAUCAAGUGACGGUAACUACCCAGAAAGGGACGGCUAACUACGUG